GACGAACGCUGGCGGCGUGCCUAAUACAUGCAAGUCGAGCGGGACUCUUCGGAGUCUAGCGGCGGACGGGUGAGUAACACGUGGGCAACCUGCCUGUAAGACUGGGAUAACACCGGGAAACCGGUGCUAAUACCGGAUAAUCCUUUUCCUCUCAUGAGGAAAAGCUGAAAGUCGGUUUCGGCUGACACUUACAGAACGGCACGCGGCGCAUUAGCUAGUUGGGGAGGUAACGGCUCACCAAGGCGACGAUGCGUAGCCGACCUGAGAGGGUGGUCGGCCACACUGGGACUGAGACACGGCCCAGACUCCUACGGGAGGCAGCAGUAGGGAAUCUUCCACAAUGGACGAAAGUCUGAUGGAGCAACGCCGCGUGAGCGAUGAAGGCCUUCGGGUCGUAAAGCUCUGUUGUGAGGGAAGAACAAGUACCGGAGUAACUGCCGGUACCUUGACGGUACCUAACCAGAAAGCCACGGCUAACUACGUGCCAGCCGCCGCAGUAA
rnacentral:rRNA from 1 species